GAUGAAGAACGCAGCGAAAUGCGAUAAGUAAUGUGAAUUGCAGAAUUCAGAGAAUCAUCGAAUCUUUGAACGCACAUUGCGCCCCUUGGUAUUCCGAGGGGCAUGCCUGUUCGAGCGUCAUUAUAACCCCUCAAGCUCAGCUUGGUGUUGGGGCCUGCUGCACUGGCAGCCCUUAAAAUCAGUGGCGGCGCCAUCUGGCUCUAAGCGUAGUAAUUCUUCUCGCUAUGGAGUCCUGGUGGAUGCUUGCCAUCAACCCCCAAUUUUUCUAUGGUUGACCUCGGAUCAGGUAGGGAUACCCGCUGAACUUAAGCAUAUCAAUAAGCGGAGGA
rnacentral:misc_RNA from 1 species